rnacentral:rRNA from 1 species
UACGGAGGGUGCGAGCGUUAAUCGGAAUUACUGGGCGUAAAGCGCGCGUAGGCGGUCAGGCAAGUCGGGUGUGAAAGCCCUGGGCUCAACCUGGGAAUUGCAUUCGAAACUAUCUGACUCGAGUAUGGGAGAGGGAAGCGGAAUUUCCGGUGUAGCGGUGAAAUGCGUAGAUAUCGGAAGGAACACCAGUGGCGAAGGCGGCUUCCUGGACUAAUACUGACGCUGAGGUGCGAAAGCGUGGGGAGCAAACAGG